CCCUAACCCAUUCUCACGCUGAUUUCUUUCCCUUCCUCCCCUCGCUGUUUCUCUUCCUCCGCGGGUUCUUCUUCCCCGAGCCGCUUCGUCUUCCCCAAACCGACGGUGCCAACCCGAUGCGACUCUUCUUCUCCUCGCUGAUGAAGCCAUCGACCAAGGGAAGCCCUAGCGUCGUCUCCCUUCUCACCUGAUCCUCGUCGACCUCCUCUCCGACUCCACAGCUCGACGCCACAAGGGGAUCACAUCAGCUCCGUUCAACCCACCGUCGAUCCGUGUCCUAACGGUGAGUGGAUGCUCUUGAUUGGAUCAUCUUUCUCACGGUGGUUACAUUUUUGGUCGCUAUCCGUGCCCUACGUCCAUCGCUGAGGCAUUGCCCUCUUCGAGUCAUUGCCUCGUGUGAGCAAAUCUCCGGCCAAGAAAGGGGAUCUUAGCCCUGGACUCAAUCUCCUAUACCUCUGUGCACCGCAGCUCUGUCUUCAAAUACAUCACUUCAGCCAAUUCAUCUUCUCCUCUUGAAUUCAUCAUUGCUGUGCAUUAGCUCCGUCGCAGAUCUCCCCUGUCAUGGAUCGACAUCAAUUUGGUCGAAAAGGAAGCUGCGAAUCUAGAUUUGGGGGGUGGGGGUGUAUUUGGUUGCUCCAUCUCAAGCGGGUAGUGGCGUUUCUUGUUUCCAACAGCAGCUCCAGCUUUAUUUCCGGCAGCAACCUCAUGAUAGCAUUCUAUUUUCUUCAUUGAGCAGCCGCGGUUCUGAAUUGAGGCCUUUGAUUCGAGAUGAGUGUCUCGAUGUGGGAUCUCCAUUUUUAAGGCGGGUACCUUUGACUUAUCUUUUUAAUAUUGUCAUUCUGAUAUGUUUAGUGAGUUAUAACUAGUAGUAAUACUUAUGCUUAUAUCUGCUUGGUAUGUCACUACUUGAUACCGUAUUUUAUCAUAUUGUUAUCUGUUAUACAUUUAUGCUUAUGCCCUCUUGAUUCUUGCAUUGUGUACUUAUGUAGUGGCAUACCAUGCAUUACCGAAUAUAGAUUUAGCUACUAGAUAUACUUGAUAUGUGUACCUAGUUUAUUACUUGACAUGUGUACCUAGUUUAUUACCUAGCAUGCACACCUAGGUUUAUUACUUGGCAUAUGUACCUAGAUUAUUGAUAUGGACUUGGUUUUCCUUUUGGUACACAUUAUAAGGAGGUUAAUAUUUUCAGGAGUUAUAUGCUUAGUGUCAUGCACCAUUUUGCAUGAUUACCUGCUGAGCAAUUGUCAGCUCCAUUAUUGUUGAACACAUCGCCAGUUACAUGAUCUGCACAUACAACCACUCAUGGGUUAGUGGUAUA